CUGGCGCCGGGUUCAAGUAAUCCAGGAUAGGCUGUGGUUUUGGCAGUCAGCCUGUUCUAGGUUACUUGGCUCUGGAGCCUG
rfam:Struthio camelus australis contig9008, whole genome shotgun sequence.